GCCCGCCAGUCGUACAUAGACUGGAGCGCUGCUAGCAACAGGCAAGAUACGAAGGCAUCGUAGACCUCUACACAAACGACGCUACCAUCUUCCAAAUAACAGAGCACCCAUCCAGGGCAGAGCAGGGUUGCUUAAAUUUUACAACGACAUUUUGAGUGCAGGCAGAUGGCCAUUAAAUGCAAAUCUCGUCUUUAAUAAAGUUCUCGAGAACUGCGCUACCAAACUAGUGGUCACCAGUUAUUAUGGGCGGACAGUGGCAUUUGAUGGAACCGUCGGUUUUACUGUAGGUAUUCGUGUGUUCAGACGUGUUCGUGGGGUUCUGAAGAUUAGCCAGGCUAUCUGGAAACCAAUUCCUGAGUCCGAAAUACCUUCCUCUAUCGACUUUAACCAGGCCCCUGUCGCACCGAGUCCAGGACACGGGUAUUACAACGGCUACUAUUAUUCAUAGUAUCGUUAGACUCUUCUACUCAUCCUACAGAACGAGAUCGCUACUCUCCACAUAGUAAUCAGGUUUUAUUAGUCAUCUUAUACAACGCGUUUACAGUUCUCGUCAUAGUGAGUAGGCUAUCAUUGUAAAGAAACUCGCAGAAAAGAACAAUCUCACCGCCCCAAUUAUUGGUUAUCCCUCGGGAGAUGCAGAAUACCCUACAUGCAGAAUUUCACUAACCACAAUUUCUUUGUAAAGAAAUGUUUUGUUCAUUGUAAGUCUGUACAAACAG